UACUAAGGGGGCUAGCGUUGCUCGGAAUUACUGGGCGUAAAGCGCACGUAGGCGGAUUCUUAAGUCAGGGGUGAAAUCCCGGAGCUCAACUCCGGAACUGCCUUUGAUACUGAGAAUCUCGAGUCCGGGAGAGGUGAGUGGAACUCCGAGUGUAGAGGUGAAAUUCGUAGAUAUUCGGAAGAACACCAGUGGCGAAGGCGGCUCACUGGCCCGGUACUGACGCUGAGGUGCGAAAGCGUGGGGAGCAAACAGGAUUAGAAACCCUAGUAGUCC
rnacentral:rRNA from 1 species